rnacentral:rRNA from 1 species
ACGGGAGGCAGCAGUGGGGAAUAUUGCACAAUGGGGGAAACCCUGAUGCAGCGACGCCGCGUGAGUGAAGAAGUAUUUCGGUAUGUAAAGCUCUAUCAGCAGGGACGAAGAAGUGAACUUGUUCACUUUGUGACGGUACCUGACUAAGAAGCCCCGGCUAACUACGUGCCAGCAGCCGCGGUAAUACGUAGGGGGCAAGCGUUAUCCGGAUUUACUGGGUGUAAAGGGAGCGUAGACGGUUCGGCAAGUCUGAUGUGAAAUCCCAGGGCUCAACUCUGGGACUGCAUUGGAAACUGUUGAACUAGAGUGCAGGAGAGGUAAGUGGAAUUCCUAGUGUAGCGGUGAAAUGCGUAGAUAUUAGGAGGAACAUCAGUGGCGAAGGCGGCUUACUGGACUGUAACUGACGUUGAGGCUCGAAAGCGUGGGGAGCAAACAGGAUUAGAUACCCUGGUA